UCCAGCAAGGUGAAAGAGUGGACAAAGU
rnacentral:piRNA from 1 species